GACAAUACGCUCAGAGCAAAAUGUUCUUCAUUUGCUUCUCCUGAGAAACAACCCCUCCUCCGCGCUGGAACUUGACACCGGCGGCGGUGGAUGACCUAACCCUCAAAAUGUUACAUCAAAACACUCAUACUUUCUCACUCUAUCUCGAUCUCACACCGCUUCCAUCUGAUUCCUUUCCCUAAGCCCGAAUUGAAGAAAAAUCCCAAAUAAACCCUAAAUUUUCAUAUCAAAAGAAAUCAUAUGAUGUCGUGAGGGAAUCGAAACCUACGAGGGUAGGGCUUUAAAUCCUGAAGCUCAAAACUAAAUUGCGGUGGAGAUUCAGGAUCCAAUCGAAUGAAGAAGCGGAGGAUUAUUUACCUGCCUGAGUAGCUCCGACGGCUCUUCAGAAGUGGCGUUUUUCUAAAGAACUCCAGAGAUUCGUCUCCUCAGAGAUUAUUACGAAUCGUGAGACUUUGGGAGUUAAGAGUGAUUGAAGAAGAAUAUAGAGAGUGAAAAACCCUUGUGCAUGGAUGAAGAGUGAAGAUUUCAAGGAUUUGAAUUUUGGAUGAAGAGUGAAGAUUGUGAAGCAGGAAGAUGAACGUGAAGGAUUUGAAGCGGGAAGAUGAAGGUGAAGCAAAAUGGAGAAUGAAGUUUUCUGCCGAGAACACAGAAUCUCAGUCUGGCUUGCUGUUGUUAUCAGUGUUUUGAGGCAAUGCUAUUUUUGAGAUGAAUGUUACGGACAUUGCAAAAUGAUUUCGCGUGUUGUAGGUUGUUUACUUGCUCAUGGUUGAUUUGGAUUUUGCCUGCUGUGUAAGCUUGUUAUCAUGGUAUUGAAAUGCAAUGCUUUGUUUGGUUCUCUUUUACAUUGCUUUGUGGCUGAACCGUUAUGGGAUAAAACAAUUGUUAUGUCAGUAGGUUAACUAAGUUGAAAUAUGUUUAAAUUGAAUUGGUUAUAUGAGGAUGAAUUGUUUAUGUUAGGAAAUUGUUAGAUUGAAAUGGAUGGAUUAUUGACAUUGUGUGUAGGGUAUUAUUUGAAUCGAUUGAAUGUUGGCUCAUAUGUUAGGAACUAAAUGGACAUGUUAUGUAUUAGUUAAAUUAAGGUAUUGACUAAUUAGAAAAUGUUAUGUUUUCAAUAAAUUGAGAUGAGUAAUAACAAUGAAUGUUAGAGAUUCAAUUAUUCAUGACUUGCUUGGCUUGAUUUUGUGUUGAGAAGUGAUAUGCAUUGAACAAAGUUAUGCUUGGUGAUAUAAUGGUGUUAUAUGUGUUUUUACAGGUCAUGGCAUGGCAAAUGGAUAUGAUCAAGGAUACCAAGACUUGACGAUUAAGAUGAUGGUUUAGGGGUAGAUGUUAGAUUGUGUAAUUUUCUUGAUGAUGUAAUAGUAGUUGUAUACGGAAUUUUAAGAAUUUGAAACAUACAAAGAUGUUCCUUAUGUGAAACCAAAUUGGUUUUAAAAAUAUUAUUUGAGUUGGUUUUGAAGAAA